UUGGCUGAGCUGCCAACAGAAAGGCUCUCUCAUGCAUUAGAGAACAAGAACCAAGACACAGAAACAGCUCCUCGGAGAAGAAAGGGUUUGGAAUCAUCACAAAUUAUAUCAAGACUGAGAUAUCAAGAUGGAGAACAUGCUGGAAUGUGUCUUCAUAAUCUUGUGGCUUCAGUUUGGCUGGUUGAGUGGAGAAGACCAGGUGGAGCAGAGUCCUCAGACCCUGAGACGCCAGGAGGGAGACAGUCUCAGCCUCAACUGCAGUUACACGGUCAGCUAUUUUAGAGGGCUGCAGUGGUAUAGGCAGGAUCCUGGGAAAGGCCUUGAAUUCCUCUUCCUCCUGUCCUCAGUUGGGAAGCCAGAGCAUAAAGAAAGAAUAAGAGCUACACUCUUCGAGAAAGGAAGUUCUCUGCACAUCACAGACUCCAAACCUGAAGACUCAGCCACUUACCUCUGCGCUGUGGAGACACAGUGCUCCCAGGCACCUGCAAGCCUGCGCCAAAACCCUGCAGCUGCGGCCCUGGAUUAAGGGCAUCUCUGUUGUUUAUCCUCCUCAAAGAAGUAUUUACUUAGCACCCGGAACCUCUUCCCAA